rnacentral:tRNA from 1 species
CGGCUUGUAGCUCAACAGCAGAGCACCCGGUUGAUAACCGGGCGACCACGGAGCAUCACCGUGCGAGCCGACCA